rnacentral:tRNA from 1 species
GGCUGUAGCUCUGUGGUAGCACACUCGCCUGGCAUGUGUGAGGCACUGGGUUCAAUUCUCAGCACCA